AGCUUGCUCUCGGGUGACGAGCGGCGGACGGGUGAGUAAUGUCUGGGAAACUGCCUGAUGGAGGGGGAUAACUACUGGAAACGGUAGCUAAUACCGCAUAACGUCGCAAGACCAAAGUGGGGGACCUUCGGGCCUCAUGCCAUCAGAUGUGCCCAGAUGGGAUUAGCUAGUAGGUGGGGUAACGGCUCACCUAGGCGACGAUCCCUAGCUGGUCUGAGAGGAUGACCAGCCACACUGGAACUGAGACACGGUCCAGACUCCUACGGGAGGCAGCAGUGGGGAAUAUUGCACAAUGGGCGCAAGCCUGAUGCAGCCAUGCCGCGUGUGUGAAGAAGGCCUUCGGGUUGUAAAGCACUUUCAGCGGGGAGGAAGGCGGUGAGGUUAAUAACCUUGUCGAUUGACGUUACCCGCAGAAGAAGCACCGGCUAACUCCGUGCCAGCAGCCGCGGUAAUACGGAGGGUGCAAGCGUUAAUCGGAAUUACUGGGCGUAAAGCGCACGCAGGCGGUCUGUCAAGUCGGAUGUGAAAUCCCCGGGCUCAACCUGGGAACUGCAUUCGAAACUGGCAGGCUAGAGUCUUGUAGAGAGGGGUAGAAUUCCAUGUGUA
rnacentral:rRNA from 1 species